UACGUAGGGUGCGAGCGUUGUCCGGAAUUAUUGGGCGUAAAGGGCUCGUAGGCGGUUUGUCGCGUCGGGAGUGAAAACCAUGGGCUUAACUCAUGGCUUGCUUUCGAUACGGGCAGACUAGAGGUAUGCAGGGGAGAACGGAAUUCCUGGUGUAGCGGUGAAAUGCGCAGAUAUCAGGAGGAACACCGGUGGCGAAGGCGGUUCUCUGGGCAUUACCUGACGCUGAGGAGCGAAAGCAUGGGGAGCGAACAGG
rnacentral:rRNA from 1 species